AGCAAUCAGCGAGACUCCCUGUGAGUAGGACCCUCCGAGCCAGGUGCGGCUUAUAAUCUCGUGGUGCGCCGUUUUUUAAGCCGGUCGGAAAAGCGCAGUAUUCGGGUGGGAGUGACCCGAUUUUCCAGUAGAGAUGGGGUUUCACCGUGUUAGCCAGGAUGGUCUCGAUCUCCUGACCUCGUGAUCUGCCCACCUCGGCCUCCCAAAGUGCUGAGAUUACAGAGGCAAUGCUUCCACACAGGACAUAGUUCAGAAGGCAUUAGAAGGCAUAGAGUAAAAAGUGAAUAAGAAUGGUCUUCUUACAUAAUGCAGGGAUGGAAGAAGAUACUUGGAAAAAUCAGGGAAGAGUGAAGAAGAUACUUCAAAAAAUCGGGGAAGAUUUUCAUCAUAAGGUCCAAGCAAAGGCAUGAGUAUAAGAUAUUCCUGAGCCUGAGUCUACUGACAAAUAUACCACAUCCCCAGAGUAAGUUGGAGUCUCUUAAAAUUGUCUUGCUGGCAUCUAGCGGAGAUUGUCCCCACAAGCAUGUUCCUUAUGACGGAUGCCUGGGUCA
ensembl:lncRNA LINC01876 long intergenic non-protein coding RNA 1876